CGGUGGAGGCGGAGGGGUGAACGGCCGGGAUGUGGGGUCCAGCCGCAGUGGCCCUUUCCCCUCAGCCUGCCGCAGCGGCUUGGGUUUUAAUUCAUUGCUGGAAGCUUCCGAGCCAGGAGAGCCGACUUAAUUCAUUUCCCUGGGACAGGAUUGGGGACUUUUCGCGGUGUGGCUAGCAGAUCCCGAAACUGCCCUUUGCACCUAGCGGGAAGGCGUGAUGUGCGGUGUCUGCAGAUGGAAAUUCGCCCUUGACCUUCCCUGCCCCCUCUCUGCGGCCAGCCCUGCGGAAGAGACAAGUUUUGGUGACUUUUAGUUUCUCCUGAAUUCAAUGCCCAGUGAGUACAACUGUGUGAAGCUGAGAAGCGACUGCUCGAGGCCCUCCCUGCAAUGGUAUACCCGAGCUCAGAACAAGAUGAGAAGACCUAGCUUGUUGCUGAAGGACAUCCUCAAGUGUACUUUGCUUGUGUUUGGAGUGUGGAUCCUUUAUAUCCUCAAGUUAAAUUAUACUACUGAAGAAUGCGACAUGAAAAAAAUGCAUUAUGUGGACCCCGACCGCAUAAAGAGAGCCCAGAAGUACGCCCAGCAGGUGCUGCAGAGGGAAUGCAGGCCCCACUUUGCCAAGAGGUCAAUGGCACAGCUCUUCGGGCCCAGGUACAGCACGGACUUACCGCCCUUCGUGAGGAAGGGCCCCAAAGGGACCGAGGCCGAGUACAAGUACGACCCUCCUUUCGGAUUCCGCAAGUUCUCCAGUAAAGUCCAGACCCUCUUGGAAAUCUUGCCUGAGCACGACUUCCCUGAACACUUGAAAGCCAAGAGCUGCAGGCGCUGUGUGGUGAUUGGCAGCGGUGGGAUCCUGCAUGGCCUGGAGCUGGGCCAUGCCCUCAACCAGUUCGACGUUGUGAUAAGGUUAAACAGUGCACCAGUUGAAGGAUAUUCCGAGCACGUGGGCAAUAAAACUACUAUAAGGAUGACUUAUCCAGAGGGUGCACCACUGUCUGACCUUGAGUAUUAUUCCAAUGACUUGUUUGUUGCUGUUUUAUUUAAGAGUGUUGACUUCAACUGGCUUCAGGCGAUGGUCAAAAAUGAAACCCUGCCUUUUUGGGUACGACUCUUCUUUUGGAAGCAGGUGGCGGAAAAAAUCCCACUACAGCCAAAACAUUUCAGGAUUUUGAAUCCAGUGAUUAUCAAAGAGACUGCCUUUGACAUCCUUCAGUACUCAGAGCCUCAGUCAAGGUUCUGGGGCCGAGAUAAGAAUGUCCCCACGAUUGGUGUCAUGGCUGUUGUCUUAGCCACGCAUCUGUGUGACGAAGUCAGUUUGGCAGGCUUUGGCUAUGACCUCAACCAGCCCAGAACACCUUUGCACUACUUUGACAAUCUCUGCAUGGCCGCCAUGAACUUUCAGACCAUGCACAACGUGACGACGGAGACCAGGUUCCUCCUGCAGCUGGUCAGAGAGGGCGUGGUGCCGGAUCUCAGCGGAGGCAUCCAUUGUGAAUUUUGAACCCAGGAAACCUCACUUGAAAAUGCAGCUCUGACCCGGAGGGCUGUUUCUCACAGCCUUCUAGAUGCAUUUCAUCCCGAAGUUUUGGCAUCUGACACAGAAACAAGGCUGUCGUUUUUGAAUCUGGCUCCCUGCUCCAGGCCAGAAUCUCCUCAAUCAUCAGCCCAAUUGUGCCAACGUCCUGACGAGAGAAGCUAAAUCAAUGUUCAAUACAGGAUGUGAGCAGGGGGUCGGAUGAGCCGAGAGGGGAAGAAAAUCAGGACUGGCUCUUUAUGGACAGAGGUCUGGGGAAAAUUCUGGAGAGACUCUGAAGCAGCUGCAUGCUGAGAUGCAAGCGGUCAGGAGAACCCCUUCUGAAAGUUACUCCAAAUGUCUCGGUAUAAACACUUUUUAAAAAAACACAAAAUAGGUCACUGGGAAUAAGUCUGUAAAGCAAUGAGUAUGAUGAUUAUACUGUUCAAAGUCAAAAUCAGGAUAUUUGACCUGCUAACUGGACAGCGUAAUUGGAACUGAGACUGCCCACCCCUUCCCUUAGUCCUGAAAGACUUCUGAACCCUAAUGGACAGGCUGCAAACAAAACGGACCCUGCCCUACUGCCCUGGAGCUCAGCCUAGGAGGGGGAAAGGUAAGAAAGGCGUGAACAAGACAAUGCAGGCGUUAGAGCACAGAGCAUGGAGCAUGGCAUGAAGGGGAGGUCAGGGACGUCAGCCUGAGACCAAAGAGGUGGUUAGAGGCUCGGGGAGGAGCAGGGAAUCGGAGCAAACAGGUGGGUGGAGGUGAUACAUUCAGAACGACAAACUUUAUCAGAGCAAACCCAAAAGGCAAGUUCAGAUAGGCUCAGGGUGAAUCCCCGCGGGCCAGGCUAAAAUGAACGUACGGGGAAAGAGUCAUUUGGAGCCACUAAGGAGGUGUUAACGGGAGAGUGACUUGAUUCAACGCAUACUGAAACACAUCUUUGUGGCUGCAGGUGGAAGGAGAAUGCGGGUGGCGGGGGAACCGGGGACAAAAAGGAUGGGGAAACCAAGGAAGGUGAUUUCACCGCGGGCAAGACUGAAAAGUGGGCGGUGCUGGAGGGCGGGACCUGGUGGGCAAGGAGGUAGCCCUGCCUCGGCUGUGGUAGCCCUGUAUGCUUUGGGUAUCCCUCUCUGGGGUUCACAUCUGUUAAUAAACAGGGCACUGGCGGGGCCCCAGCGCACAUUCAUGUCUCUUUAAUAAAGAAGCCGCGGGGAGAAAAGGAGUGGCUGUUAGAAUGGGCCACGGCGCCACCUAGUGUCCAUGCAGUGUGUGCACAGCCCUCAGGGCACCGGCCCCAAAGCAGCCCGUGUGGGACCCACCGCUCUGCAGGCCAGGCGUCCUCAGCCGCUAGGGCACUUUCCUCCUUUCUGCACUAUCUCUGACCACUUCUCAGGCCGCCUUGCUCCUCCCAACCCCCGGCCUUUGAUCCCUUUUCUUUCCCCUUCUCACCACCCGCCCCGUACUCCUCCUGGGAGAUUACUCGCCCCGUGGGUUACACUUUGAUACUGUCUCUUUAUUCCCAUACCCAGGUCUGCAGUGGAGCAGAAGGAAGGGAUUUGGACGGGGUCCUGAGUCUGUGGCCCCAGGACCAGGGACAGAAGGCAGCCUGGCAUUCCCGUAGGGCAUCCAGAAGGAGAGUUUAGAAACUCAGAGAGACCAGAGGAGCAUAAGCAUGAGGGAGGGCUGAGGGCGCCUUAUUUUCAAUGUGCAGGUUGGACGGCAGCCAGUCAGAAUAUCCAGAGCAUUUCAGUGCUUUACAGAGCCAAGCAGACAGAAUCUUCAGUCUCAAAACUGUCUACCGGUCACCAAUCUUCUCCAGGCCCUGUGCCAGGCACUUUGCAAACAUUAUCCCUAAACCUUACGAUAAAACUAGAAAGGUGAUGAUACCCCACUACACAGAUGGGAAAACUAAGGCCCCGAGGGAAAGAUGACUUACCCAAGCCACCCAACUGAUGGGCUUCAAGGUCAGGAUUCAUUUUACAGACGAAGCAACAGAGGUUGAGAGAGGUGACAGUUCUUGCACAAGAUCACACAGACGCCAGAGCUUCGGGAUUUGAAUCAAUGCUAUCCCUUCAUGCCAUGCAUGAUGUAUAGAUGUUCCACUGCCUGACCAGAGACUGGGACUCUGUCUCAUCCACCCCAGAGCUCAGGAAGGCCCUGCAGAAAUUGGGGAACCACAGGAAGGGUACAACCAGCUACUGACCUUGAUCUUGUAGCAGUGGGCAGGCAGCGGGGAGAGAUCUGUGACUCUAAAGAGAUCCAGCUAUCCCAAGCCAAAAUGUUGCUAGACCCAAGCUGGUAUCUGCUGCCAGAGCGCCAGUGCAGCAGUCAGACAGUCUGAGAAUCCCAAACUUUAAUGGUAAAUUUAAUUCUAUAUGAUUUUUGCGAUAAUAAUGAUAAUAAUAAAAGAAUAUUGAACUUCAUUGCAGCAUUGUUGAGAAACAGCCAAAAAAUUGGAAAUUACCUAAAUGUCCAACAAUAAUAGCCAAUAUCAGUAUUCUGAGUACUUUAUUACCUUAUCUCACCUAAUUCUCAUAACCUCCUAAUGAGGUAGGUAAUAUUAUUAUCUGCAUUUUACAGCUGGGUAAACUGAGGCACUGGGAGUUUAAGCAACUGCCCCAAAGUCUGCAUGCCCAAGCUGGGAUUUGCAGUCUCCUUCCAGAAGCUGGACCCUAAAUACUGUUUCAGUUGUUUCAGUAGGAGUUGAUUAUAAUUUGCACCUUAAAUUUAAAAAAAUCUUUCCCCAGUUGGAACUAUUUGAAUUUUUUCUGACUUAAAGUGGGAGAAAUCCAAUUACAGAAUAUUAUAUGUAGCAUUAACAUAUAUUUUGGGGGAUGUGUGGCUAUUCGGGAACACAAUCUUAUAAUACUUCGUCAGAUGCAGUGUGGACAUACCUACGAUCUAUGACAAAGCAGUUUCAGUCAUGGGUAUAUAUUUCUACUGCAGAGAAAUUCUCACACAGGUUUUAAAAGGGGACCAUGUAUAAGGAUAUUUUUCACAGCAUGUCAGGUGGCAAUCUGGGUGUCCACCCUGGAGGAGGAGGUAGGUACAGUGCAGUUGAUGCACAGCCCACGAAACACUGUGCAGCAGCAAGAGGCGACAGACCUGGGGGAGAAGCUACAAGAUGAAUUUAGCUUAAAAUCAAAGAGCUGAGCCCAAGAAGCAAAUGAGAGAAUGAGAUCUGUGUCAGUCCCAUCGGCAAAAUGGAAAGCACCAUAAACAUUUUAAACAGAGGGGAUUGAACACAGAGCCUUAGUGAUAAAGGGGUUGGAACUGCUGUAGGAACGAGAGUGGAAAUUCAGGCUACCUCCAGAUUUGUACCUGCAAGAAGCAAAAGGGCAGCGUGUCACCGGGAGCCCCCACUCCCCAGCUGCUGCUGUCACUACUGCCACCACUGCUACUGCUGCUACUGGGAGAGCUGCUUGCAGAAGCCCCCACCCCCAAAAAGGCUUUCCCCAUCUCCCCCUUCCAGUCUCCCACCACUGCCUCUCAUCGGCAGAACCUAACAGGUAGAAAGGAAAGAGAAUCAGGGAAUACGGUUUUCUGAUUUCCAAACCCCGCAGUGGAGAGGACGGUGUAGACAAGCAAGUGGGAGACAAAGGACGUGACCCAGCCCAGCCCACCCCUUUCCCCUCAGCAUCCCUACAAGCCGUGUGUAAACUUCCGAGUGACAGCGAUCACGGCGCCCCCUGCUGCCGCCUCGCAGGAUGCAAGCGCCACUCACGCUCUCCACAAAACAUUAGACCCCAAGUCCCUCUGGUCACUGCCUCCAUCUCUGGGUGAUGUUAAUCCGUCUUCUAGUCCAGUCACCAAGUCCCGCCUGCAUUUUCUGUGACCUAGAAAUGAUACUGGAAUGUUAAACCCCACUGACAUUUCUUGUGUACAUCACUAGGGGAAAGACAGCGAGGGAAAAGGAGCGAUGCAGACAGCACGGGCAAAAGUACCGCAAGGCUCCCGUGGUUCAUGCCUGGAACUGGUCACCAGGCCGUGGCUAGUACCAGAAGCUCUGUGUUUGCAGGGCACAAGUAUGUGGGAGUUCCCAAGUGGUCCUCUGGGGUUCUGGUCAGGCCACUCAGAAGUCCCUUUCCUGUUUCUGCUGAGCAUCAAAGCGGCCGGGCAGGUGGGGGUGCUAACAAGGUCACAUUCACCGGUAGAAGUUUGGGAAGAGUGAGCCUUUCUGCAGGGACCUCACUGCUGACCAUGGGCACGCAGGCCCCAAAGAGUACCCAGCACGGCGGCCACCAGUGCGGUUUCUGGAAUGGGAGAGCCAGCUGAAUUCGGGCGCGCGCUGCCUCCUAGGUGUGUGGUCUGGAGCGAGUUCCUGACCUCCCAGGGGCUCGUCUGUGAUGGAAGAGUGAAUGAGAUCAUCGCGUAAAGCACUACAUCAGUGUUAGCUAUUCGCUUCAUAGCGGUCACUGCAAACUGUUUUUUUUUUUUUUAACAGCUGAAGGCAGUCCAGAAAAGACUAUUUACAAUCACUUAGAUUUAAAAUGAAUGCUCCUUUCAUUAAAAUAGAAAUAACCUAGUUAUCCUUAAGCUGUUAUGCUCAGUUUACAAAUCUUUUUAUUCUGCUUAUAAAUAUGGCAAGAUAAGAAUUUUUGACAUUCAGUUUUCUUUGAUUAAUGAUCUGUUAACUCCACUUGAAUACCCUAAGCUCCUUUUAAAAAUCAUUUGCAAGGGGAAGGGCAUUUGCAGGGGUAGAGUGUGUGCUUGGCAUGCACGAGGUCCUGGGUUCAAUCCCCAGUACCUCCAUUAAUAAACAAAUAACUAAACCUAAUUACCUCUCCACUCCCUCCCCCCAAAAAAAAUCUAAAAAAAAAAAAAAAAAGAAGUAAAAAGAAAAUCGUCUGCAAACCUAAUUAAUUAAAUUUCCCUAAACACUUUGAACUGCUUUUAUAAAUUACAUUUCCUUUGUAAGCACUUCAGUUGCCCAACCAAGCAAACCUACGGCUCCAACAAGCAAAAUAUCUCCAAGUAAUAAACUCUUAUAAGCCUAGGAAAUAAAAUGUAUUAAUAUAGUGAAGCCCUCGUUUUCUUUAAAAUCUCAUAAUAUUCACAAAAAUGGAGUCAAAUUUUCUUUUCUCUUCCAGCUUAAAAUCCCAGUUCUAAAUUCUAUGACAUAUUUAAAAUGCAUCAGGCUAAACUGUCCGUCUUUAAUGUGUUAGAUGCUCUUAACUAUUACAGCAUUUUAUUUAUUUUUUUAUUUCAGUUUUUUUUGGGGGGGGGGUAAUUAGGUUUCUUUCUUUUCAUUUAUUUAUUUUUAAUGGAGGUACUAGGGAUUGAACCCAGGACCUCGUGCAUGCUAAGCAUACACUCUACCACUGAGCUAUGCCCUCCCCACUUAUUACAGUAUUUUUAAGAAACAGCUACACACAGGCUACUCCUAAACUUAACAUGAUCCCUAGGGAAGUUUGAUCCCUAGGGCUGAAUUUGUUUUAUCAUCUUCAUGUUUAAAACUAAACUCUCCCAAGUUGGAAGACAGUUCUUGAAGAAGCUGAGGCACCAUCUCCAGCAGCCCAAGAGCGCCACCCUCAGGGAAUAGGUGACACUAGGCUGGCAGCUUACAGCCCAGCUGUGGAUGUUUUGUGGUCAGAACUUAAAAACACUGCUGUGGAUCUGGGAGCUGCUGAGUCCAGAGGGCCACAGUUGGACCCGCCAGGUCCUUCGUAUACCGAGAUGACAGCAGGGACCUCAAGUCCGUUCCUCUCAGGUAGGAUCAGCUUUGUCAUCCAGGCUCCCUGGGCAUUUAUCCCCUUACCCAGUUUUCCAUAACCUGUUUUUAACUUUUAUCAGUUUAGUUGGAACAUGAGUUGACCUGUUCCGUUCCUCAUGACCCACCCCUUUCCCCCAGGUGUCUUCAGUUGGAUUCAGCCAACCUGCUCCCUGUCAGAGCCACGUCUUGUUGGCUUCAGCUGCAGCGCGAAGGUCACUCCAAGGACGCAGCAUUUUCCCACAGGCACAAGUGGCUGCCAGGCGGAGUUGGAGCUGCAGGAACUUUUCCUGAGAUUAUCAUUUACCACUUGUUCUUGAUCGAUUUUCCUCCUCUGAUUCAACCUACCUUUCUUGCUUUUAUUUUCAGGACCCUGAGCAAUGCAAGGGGACGGGGCUGGGGGUUUGGGGAGAGGAAAAGAGGUGCUUUGGGGAGAACUGGGUGGCCUGGAGUAGCUGUGCCCACCAGGGAAGGGACGGGACUUCAGGUGGCAGGGCUGGGCCGUGGGGGGCGUCAGGGGAGCACACAGGCACAGACCAGGCCCGAGGGCUGCCGGUCUUGGCAAGGAAGCCCAGGGCCUCCCUGAGGCUUAGACACUGAAGCUCUCACGGUGGUCCCGACACACUGAAGGUCUGCCGUCCCUCCACACCCUGCCCCCUUUUCUGGAAUCAUGUUAGGCUUCUGCAUCCUUGCAGGGGCCAAGGGAAGAAGCGCCCCCUCCCGCCUCCAAGAGCAAGUAACAGUGACUUUUCCUGCGGCCCUGGCAAGGUGGGGUCCCAUCUGACUUGUUCGUAAUGAAAUAAAGAAGGACGCUAUUUCUA